rnacentral:rRNA from 1 species
CAGUAUAGAAAUGUCUAUUUGUGUAUAACACAUUUAUAUACAACUUUCAGCAACGGAUCUCUUGGCUCUCGCAUCGAUGAAGAACGCAGCGAAAUGCGAUAAGUAAUGUGAAUUGCAGAAUUCAGUGAAUCAUCGAAUCUUUGAACGCACCUUGCGCUCCUUGGUAUUCCGAGGAGCAUGCCUGUUUGAGUGUCAUGGAAUUCUCAACCCUUAGGAUUUAUUUUCUAAUGGGCUUGGACUUGGAGGUUUGUGUCGGCUGCUUUGUUCAGUCGACUCCUCUUAAAUGCAUUAGCGUGAAUUCUUACGGAUCGCCUUCAGUGUGAUAAUUAUCUGCGCUGUGGUGUUGAAGUAUUUUUUUAUAUUCAUGCUUAUAAUCGUCUCCUUACCGAGACAAUUAUCAUUAUGACAUCUGACCUCAAAUCAGGUAGGACUACCCGCUGAACUUAAGCAUAUCAAUAAGCGGAGGA